GACGAACGCUGGCGGCGUGCUUAACACAUGCAAGUCGAACGGAAAGGCCCUGCUUUUGUGGGGUGCUCGAGUGGCGAACGGGUGAGUAACACGUGAGUAACCUGCCCUUGACUUUGGGAUAACUUCAGGAAACUGGGGCUAAUACCGGAUAGGAGCUCCUGCUGCAUGGUGGGGGUUGGAAAGUUUCGGCGGUUGGGGAUGGACUCGCGGCUUAUCAGCUUGUUGGUGGGGUAGUGGCUUACCAAGGCUUUGACGGGUAGCCGGCCUGAGAGGGUGAACGGCCACAUUGGGACUGAGAUACGGACCAGACUCAUACGGGAGGCAGCAGUGGGGAAUAUUGCACAAUGGGCGGAAGCCUGAUGCAGCAACGCCGCGUGCGGGAUGACGGCCUUCGGGUUGUAAACCGCUUUCGCCUGUGACGAAGCGUGAGUGACGGUAAUGGGUAAAGAAGCAACGGCUAACUACGUG
rnacentral:rRNA from 1 species